GGAUGGAUGUUAAUAUUUGAUCGUGAUGAAUCUGCUGUUCUGCCGCCAUUUCUAGUUUUCCCUCUCUGUUAUUCAAACAAUCAUCCCAAUUGAUCUAAUCUAUCGGCUAAACCUCACGGUCUAUUCUUCUUUCAGGCGAUUAGAAUAAUCUAAUGGCGGAUCCGAUCGAUUUCUCACGAACAGAGCGCAUCGUUCUCCUAAUAGAUCUACAGCCACUCACAGUUCUUCAAAACCCCGAAUCCUACAUUCAUUCGGUCCUCGCCGCCAGCAGAACCAUUCUAACUUUCUCUUCUAUCUCAUCCUCUCUAGUCGCCUUUAAGUUAUUUUUCUCAUCUCUCUCCCCAAUUCGCUCUUCAUCCACUGUCCACCGCCUCCUCAAGAAGCCAUUUUCUAACUCCCUAUCCUUUGAUGACGCUAUUACGUCUUUCGAUUAUCUCCGUCAAGUUCUUAAUUCUCUCGCCAGAUUCUCUUCGAUCGAUACUGAAUUGGCUACUGAACUAUCUCGUCAAUCACACGUGGCGAGUUCGUUGCUUCAGCUUGUGCACGAUUACGCCUGGGAGAAGCUCCAAACUGAAGAUUUACCAGGUACAUUGAAAAAUUUCCCCAACAUUCGUCAAAAUCUUGUUGUUUUGUUUUCUCCUGCUGAAGGAUGUCUAAAAUGUUCUUCCGAGUUUAUGAAUGAGCCGACGGAAGAUUCAAUUUUGAAUGAAUCGGAUUUCCUUUGUAAGAAAUUCUAUGAUUCGUUUUCUUCUGUCAAAGAUGCAUUCUCUAUUAGAGAUAUUCAUUGUAGUUGGAUCGAUGUUGUGCUUGAUAAAGAAUCUAAUCAAGAAAAUCUAGAGGUUGGGAAAAUUGAGAGUGUAAUUAAGAGCUUGGGAUGGGGAUUCAGUUCAACUAACUCAAUUGUUUUAGGAUCUUCCCUGGUUCCAUUUGGUUUAGUUUAUCCUGCAAUAGGAAGUUCGUCAAAUUUCAAAGGUUGCAAUGCCUUAGAUAAUGUUGUUCGUUCACAAUUGGCUCUCGAAAUAGCAGAUGUGAGGGGAAAACCAUUACAGUGUAACUUGUGUGAUCUUGAUCUGUUGAAUGUAGUGGUUCCUGCCAUGGAAGCUACAGGUUCAGAAAGUGAAUCCCUUGAGCUAGAUAAGAAAUUCCCAGGAAACUUUUGUAGGAAAAUUACGACUCUAAAGAUUAAAUCUGUUUUUAAGUGUGGUGAUACUGCAAGUAUGGAGGGUUGCCUAUCCAAACUUGUUCUGGUCCGGGAAAGCUCUCGAGAAUCUGGAUCAAAUGGAAAGAAAUUCUCCGACUGCUCAGUAGCAGACAGAGUUCUUGAAAUGCUUUCUUGCGAGAUGAGUGGAUUCAUUCCUGUGAAAAGAGCUCCUUGCUGGCAAAUCUUGUUGAGUUAUCUAGGGAGAGGAGGUUACAUGGCAUUGGUAUCCAUUUCCAAUGAAAAUGGAAAUACAUUCAUGGGUAUACUUAGGCCUUAUACUGUGCAUCUCGCUCUUCUCUCAAUAACAGACAACAUGGAGGGGAAACUGCUUGAAUCUGACGUUCCACAGAUUUUAAAGCCAAAUGUUGAUAACGACCCCAAUGAGUUCAUUGAUUCUCAAUCAUCGGUAGUCUCGUCAACUGGACAUAAGGUGCCACUAGAUGCUCGCAAAGCUAAAAAGAGCCAAAAACAUAUGUACCGAGAACUGAAGUGGAGCUCCUUUCAUGAGGAAGCAUACAAUGGUUCAGUCAUGGAGUUGGAAGAGCUCUACUUUACCAAAGAAAUUAAAAAUUCAAAGAAAUUGAUGUUUUUGAAGUGUUGGAUAAAACAAACAAAGAAAUCUAGUCCAUGUUCCAUGACUUUACUAAAAGGAUCCAAAGUUCAACAGCAUGUUGAUAUAAAAGGGAAGGAAGAUUUAGCUGAACCUUGCAAAGUAAUCCAUCAUUCUGCAUCUUCACACUUUUCAGCUAAACCACAUUCUAUGCAGCAAGAAACUGAUCCCACCUGCUAUCCAGAAACUUCAGAAGACUUCUUAAGUAGUCUUACUAAGAAGAUUCACGAAGGUUUCGAAUGCGAAGGAAUGGAUAUGAAGGUUCUGGCCGAGCGACUAGUAGACAUGUCCAUCCAAUGGUUAAUACGUCAAAGUAUGGGGCCAAAUCAUAGUAUGACAGAUGAAUCUUUGGUGAAGCCUGUUAACUACUCUAGGACUUCAAUUGUUGAUAGUCUGAUGAAGAUGCUACUCAAAACGCCAAAGGACAUGAAGCAGAAGCCCACAUUUCCACCUCUCCAAGCUUCUAACCAAGAAGAAUCUGGCAGUCCCGCGACGGAAAACUUAGUUAAAGAAUACGAACUGCAAAUUUUGUUCCGCAUGGAGAUUCUCAGAUCAGAGGCUGCAGAGGGCAUUAAACCAUCCAGAAGACGCAAACUUGUGAAGCAUAUUUGCAUGUUUCUUGAGGUUAUACAAUAUCUUGUUGAUGGUGGAUUUCAUGGUCGUCUAAGCCUUUAUGAUUAUGUCGAAAGAACCAUAAGGAGCAGGUAUUCCCAUGUUCUAGAGCAUAUUGUAAACAAGAUUUAUGCGCAAAUGGAUAUGUUGCCAUUUGGUGAUGUUGAAGAAGACCCCGUUCAUUUAGUCAACAGUGAAAAUAGCCUUCACUCUUUGGGAGAAACCGAUGACAUAGAUGAAAGUGAUAGAGUUUUAUCAGCUUCAGCCGAGGAUGAUAGUUGCAGGAGACAAGGAAAUGACAUAGAAAGUAAUGGAAACAAUAACAAAGACAAGCAGGCGCACAAGUUAGUCAAGGCAAGGGAAAGAAGAGAAAGGGAUCGCAGGUUUGUCUCUUUCACAACAUGGUUGCCAGAUUUACAGAGGGUUUGGGCCCCAAAACAGACCAAACAAACUAAGAAGUCAUCGGAUUCUAUGAACAAGAAAACUAAACGUAAACAAAGCCAAUACUCGAGCCGUGAUAUGGUGUCCGAGACUCCAAUGAGCAUCAAUGAUCAAAGGAAACGGCACGGCGAGAGUAGUAGUAACUCCACACCAUCUGUCUACAAGGCUUUGUUUCUAGAUGAUCAAUGAUGCAAACUGUUUUAAUCACUUCUAUAUGUUGUAAAGGUCAGCGGCCUCACUAGCCUUAAAAAAGGUCGGAAAGAUAAUUAAAGCAAACGACCCGAAGCCAGUAAAGUGGCCGGAGUUAGCAAAGCAAUAGAAGAAAACAGAAGAUUGAUCAAAGCAAGUAUGUCACAUGAUGACCCUUUUUCUUGGAAGGUUGUUUGACAUUCAAAAAAUAAUACAACAAUUGUUAAUGUUUGUUGUUUUAAACAUUCUAAGUUUAGCCAAGUGACGUGAGUGUUGAUCAACUAUAAGGAGCAAAAUUAAUUCAAAUUAAUUCAUCCAAAAAUAACAAUUUCC